CUAAUUUGUUAUAUAUAUAUAUAUAUAUAUAUAUAUAUAUUAUGUACCGUUUUGUUUGAUUUUUAUUUA
rnacentral:sRNA from 1 species